GCACAUUUUAAUUCAUGGUUCUACAAAAGAAGAAGAAAAUUUUCGUUUGGUCUCUUCUCCACCUCGCCCCCAUUGCCCCUCUCACCAUUCUUUGAUUUUGAUUUUCCGAAUCCUUCAUCAAAACCCUAAACCCUUUCAAUCCCAAAUUCUGUUUUCAACCUUCCAUCAAUCCUCCAAUGGCUACAAAUCUCGCUCUCCGGCUCAGAUCACGUCUCCUUUUGCAAUCCUCAGCUCGUUUCCGCUCCAAUUUUCAUCACAUUCAACCACCCCACCUCCCCAAAUCUUCCCCUCUUAUCUCCUCUGCACUUUCUGAUCUUCGUCGAUUUCCCAAUGACCCCAUCUUCAAUCUCUCUGGAUUUCGGUUCUUCUCAACUGCACGGCGGAAUCUGACCCGUCCCAAGCAGGUCGACAUCGGAGCUCGGGCCAGGCAGCUCCAGACGCGGCGGCUUUGGACUUACGCUCUUACUUUCAGCUGCAUCGCGGGAUUCAUCGUCAUCGUCCUCAGUAAUUUUCAAGAGCAUCUGAUGUUCUACGUGACACCUACCGAUGCGCUCGAGAAAUACUCUGCGAAUCCCUCGAAGAACAAGUUUCGUCUCGGUGGUUUGGUUCUUGAAGGCAGUGUAAUGCAUCCGGCGUCGUCUUCUCAAAUGGAGUUCGUGAUAACUGAUUUGAUCACUGAUAUAUUGGUUCGCCAUCAGGGGUCGUUGCCGGAUUUGUUUAGAGAGGGGCAUUCGGUGGUGGUUGAAGGUUUUGUUAAGCCAUUUACCGAUGAGAUAAGGAAUGAGGUCUCUACGAAGAGCGUUUCGGGAAAAGCGAGAAGUGGGGAAUAUUAUUUUUCGGCUACUGAGGUUUUGGCAAAGCACGAUGAGAAGUAUAUGCCUGCGGAAGUUGCGGCGGCAAUCGAGAAGAACAAGAAGAAGAUCGCGGAAGGAGAAUUGGGGUUGAACCACGCUUGAUUCAAUGGGACACUCGCUGCUAACUGCAAUAUUUUGAUUUGAAUUCAAUGCUAUUUAUUGGCAACCCAAAGCAUGUAGAAUCAUAUCCCAAAUAUAAGGCCAAAAAGAAACAAAAAAUAGUGCCAGCACAAUGACAACAUAUACAUACAAACCAUCAAAAUCCAAUCAUACUGAUCAAUGAGAAAGCAGGAAGAUCUGAUAUCUAAUGCCAGAGAAGCACAAUGAGGCAGAUGAACAUUGAUAGCAGAGCCCUGCUACUCGGAAACGUCACCUGAAAUCCAGUCCCAGCAUCCAUAGCAGGUAAUGGUGCAAGUCCUCCACUGUCUUGAGCUCUCGCCACUUCAAGCAGAAGCACCAGAGUCAUCACAAACAAGCUCAUUGCCUUGUGGAUGCUGAAUCCUGCCAUUGAUGUCUGCACAGAAAGCUCGAAAAGAGAGAUCAAAAGAGAGGAAGAAUCGAAUCGAAGGUAAUAUGAAAUUGGUGCUGGAAAUUGGAGUAAGAGAAGCAUAUUUAUACAGGCAUGUGGAGAUGAAUUAGAGAUUAAAUUGUUUGUGAUUCAUGAAUAUUGAGUUUACUGAUUGUGAUGUUGCUUCUUAGAUGGCUUACAGCUCCUUUUGAAGAUGACAUAUCAGCUUACUUUGCUGCUCACAGGGCCCUAUAAUGCCUCUCCCACAGCUAAUUUGAGUAAUUUUGUGGUAUCAGGUAAACAUUUUUGUAUUUCUUGUGUUUUGCUCCUCAUUUAAUACCACUCUACCUUAGUACUACUUUCCUUUUAAUAGAACUUUAGUUAAUAACCACAGUGGACUUUUUAUUUACUUUUUUUUUUAAUUUUAUUACUUGAGAUAUUGUUGAAUGUAAAUAGAAUCUUUGUGUAGCCUAUUGUUUGGUUUGCAGCUUUUAUAUAGUUAUCACUAAAUGUGGAAGGUGCUGCAAGUCUAAGCUUAUCUCAAUCCACUAAUGUAAAUAGAACCUUGCAUUGAGUCAAAUAGUGAUGAGAAAGAGAUUUGAAAAUAUAAUUCUAAGAUUUUUUACUCCUUUUUUUUUUUUUGUUUUAUAUCUAUGAAUGUUCGGGGUCACUUUACGUGCACUCCGCUAAUCUCUUGGGACAACUCACCUAAUCCUACUAUAUUUACGUGUCAGAAAUUCGUGGAGAAUCUUAGGUUGGUGGUCACUAUGGAUUGAACUCAUUCCCUCUAAACCUUUGUAAAAAAAACCCAAGUUGUUUAUUUAUCAUUAGGUCAUUCCAUGAUGGUUUAGUUCAAAAUUCUACUUCUUUUGUAUUUGGUAGCUUACAAAUUUGACGACUACAUUUUUAUCUUUGUC